rnacentral:lncRNA from 1 species
GUCCCCGCCCCCGCCCCGGCCCUGACCGUGGCUGCAGGCGGCGGGCUGCGGGCAGAGCGGGCUGUGGCAGGGCACGCAGGGCCGCAGGUAGUGCUCGCGCACGAUCCGCAGCGUGCGGCCCUGGAAGGUCCUCAGCAGCAGCACCUUCUCCCGCUUCUGCAGCAUGGCGGCGUGUCUCCCGGCGGCCGCGGAGUGGCGGGCGCGGCGGAGGCAAGGCCGCGGCCUCGGACCCGCCCCUCGGCCCUAGGCGCCGCGGCUCCGGAACCGCCGUAACUGCCGCGCCCGGGGGAGGCCCGGAGCUACACGCUCCAGGCUGGGGCCCGGCCCUCCCGGCCUUAGUUUCUUCCCUUCCCUCAGUGGCCUGGACCAGGGCGGAGGGGUGGAAACGACCUACCCCAGAGACGGAGGGAAGACUAGGAUGAUACCUGGACGGCAGGGUCUGGCUCUCUUACCCAGGCUGGAGUGCCCUGGCACAAUCUCAGCUCACUGCAUCCUCCGCCUCCUCGGCUCAAGCCAUCUCCCACCUCCGCCUCCCAAGUACCAGGGACCACAGGCACACACCAGCAUGCCUGGCUAAUGUUCAUAAUUUUUUUUUUUUUUUUUUGUAGAGAUAGGGUUUUGUCAUGUUGCCCAGGCUGGUCUUGAACUCCUGGGCUCAAGUGAUCUAUCAGCCUCAGCCUUCUGAAGUGCUGAGAUUAUAGGCAUGAGCCACCAUGCCUGGCCUAUUUCAGUUUCUAUAGUUCAGAAGUCUGAGCAUGGCUGAGUUAGAUUCUCUGCUCAGGGUUUCACAAGGCCAAAAUCAAGGUGUUGAUUGGGCUGCAAUCACUUCUGGAGCUUGGGGUCUUCUAUCAAGUUCACGUGGUUUUUGGCAGAAUUUAGUUCUUUGUGGUUGUAGGGCCGGGCCUGCAGUUCUCUUGCUGGCUGUUAGCCAGCAGUGCUCAAAGCUCCUGGAGGCCCCUGCGGUUCCUUGCCAUGCCCUUGCACACUUCCAAGCUCUUUCAUCAGAGGAAGCCAGGCACUUUAUGGCCUCACCUUAUCAGAUCAGGCCCACUGAGGAUAAUCUCCUAUGUUCAGGUCAGCUGAUUUGGGACAUUUUUUUUAAAUCUAAAAAAUUUCAAUUUCGUCUAUAAAAUCUCUUCAGAGUGGCACCUACAUUAGCCUUUGACUGAAUAACUAGGAAAAAUGUGUAUGCCAGGGUUCAAGAAUCUUUGGGAGCCAUCUCAGAAUUCUGCCUACCAUGAUGCAUAAUAAUCAUUUGAACUCAAUAAAUUAUAUUUAAAACUAUGGUAUUUGUUAAAUAUUUGAGAGCAGCAUAAAUAAUGUUCUUAAAAAAGGAAUGGAGGCUGGGUGUGGUGGCUCAUGUCUGUAAUCCCAGCAUUUUGAGAGGCUGACGUGGGCGGCUCACUUGAGGCCAGGAGUUCAAAAGUAGCCUGGCCAACAUGGCGAAACCUCAUCUCUCUAAAAAUACAAAAAUUAGCUGGGUGUGGUGGCAUACACCUAUAAUUCCAGCUACUCAGGAGGCUGAGCCAUGAGAAUCACUUGAAUCCAGGGAGCGGAGGUUGCAGUGAGCUGUGAUCAUGCCACUGUACUCCAGCCUGGGUGACAGAGUAAGACUGUCUCAAAAAAGGAAAAAAAAAAAAAAAGGAAUAGGAGAACCAGGCUGGUAAUCCAGAGGCUAGACAAAAGUAAAUACAUGAUGGUGAAUGCCGCCUCGGUUAGUUCAAGCUGAGGGGCAGAGAACUCUGCCAAUAUAUAUUAACCCACAGGCUGUUCAUCUUCAGUAGCACUGAUUUACACCGGGCCCAGAAUUCACUCAGGAAUCCUUGUACAGUGCCCAGCCGCUUUUGCUAUCACAAGAUCAACUUGGGGAGAGGGCAGUGAACUGAAGUCACUUUGAUCCCCUUCCAUUUCUACAAACAAGACCCACUUGGAGAGGGCAGUGAGGCUGGGAGGUGUUGUGGGUGAGAAUAGUCUUCUUCGUUCCACUCCUUUUCCUACCUGUGAGGAAUGAGG